CACCGAGAAAAAAAAAAUCAAAUAAUUGAACCAUUACAAGUCUUGGAAAAAGAGAGAGUGGGCAGAGGGAGAAGGCUAAACAAAGAUCAUAACAUGAGAAGUUUCAUAAUCAAUCAUAUGAUACAAGAAAAGGAAUGACCGUGGACAUGAAUUCGUCAUAAUUGAAGGUUGCUGUGCCAGUAUAUCGCGAAUCCUUCUGCUUAAAUUUCUCAGUCAACCCCUUAAGGAUCAUGCCGCAUUCAACAAAACUGUCAAAGUUAAGUUCAAUCUUUCUGCCACUUCCAUCAUCAUACUUGGAAAUCAGAACUUUAAGAACAGAAGGUGGGAUUGCAUAACCAAUGCCAUAAAGAGCAUCCCUCAGUUCAAACAAAUCAAUUUUCCCACUCCUGUCUUUAUCAUAUCUCUCAAAUAUUGCUCGCCAUUGACCAAGACAACUCCAUAAAGCAGCAAACUCUUUAGGCCCAAUUCGCAGAGGAUCAUAUGGAUUCUUGAAGAGAAACAUAAGAAGCCUAAUAGUCCUAAUAUGGAACCGCUGGUACCCAGAAGAGA
rnacentral:misc_RNA from 1 species